rnacentral:lncRNA from 1 species
UGGAUUUUGAAGAACGCCCAAAUACCGACAUUUCCAUUGUCACAUUCCUCCCUGGUAUGUGUGCACUUGAAAAUGGUUUAGAUCUUUUAUCAUAGUUAAUUAUUUUGUGUGUACGGACAUGGGGGAGGGGCGUGGGCAUGCCAGAGGCUGACAGGUGAAGUGAGAAGAUGAGUCUUAGGAAUUGGGAUUUCUCUCCCUUCCUCCAUGUGCAUCUGGAGGAUGGAACUCAGGUCAUUAAGUUGAUGGUCACAGUUCCUUAAGCCCUUGAAAUUUCUACAUGUAAUUUAAGGGCACCAAGUGUGCACUGGUCAAUGUGUACUCCAGAAAAUCCAGUAAAAUCAAGUUUCCAGAUUUUCCAGCAACCUUGCAACGUGAGUUUAUGUGCACUAAACAACAAGGUCUAUGCACUGGGACAGAUUAAGUAGACAGCCUUGGGCUCUCUUCAUUAACCUUUUGAUUCCUAAUCGUGUAUUUCAUUGUUAGUUCAGAACUUAGCAGACAAGAACUUAUCAAAUGUGCAAAUGUCACAAGGCUAGAAAUUAAAGUUAGCUUUGAAAUGCUAUUAGGAAAAAAUGUAUCUCACCCUUUCGAUGUAUACCAGUGCCCUCAGAUUUUUCCCUACUUUGUCAUGACCGUGUAAUUUUGUGGAAUAAAUCCUAAUGAAAAG